rnacentral:rRNA from 1 species
UACAGAGGGUGCAAGCGUUAAUCGGAAUUACUGGGCGUAAAGCGUGCGUAGUCGGUUAUUUAAGUCGGAUGUGAAAUCCCCGGGCUCAACCUGGGAAUUGCAUUCGAUACUGGAUAGCUAGAGUUCGGCAGAGGGAAGCGGAAUUUCUGGUGUAGCGGUGAAAUGCGUAGAUAUCAGAAGGAACAUCAGUGGCGAAAGCGGCUUCCUGGACCGGAACUGACGAUCAGGCACGAAAGCGUGGGGAGCAAACAGG